rnacentral:rRNA from 1 species
CGGACCGGCGGACGGGUGCGUAACGCGUAUGCAACCUGCCUGACACAGGGGGAUAAUCCGAAGAAAUUUGGUCUAAUACCCCAUAAUACCGAUAUAGGCAUCUAUGUUGGUUGAAAGCUUUGGUGGUGUCAGAUGGGCAUGCGUUGUAUUAGCUAGUUGGUGAGGUAACGGCUCACCAAGGCGACGAUACAUAGGGGGACGUGAGGGGUUAACCCCCCACCACUGGUACUGAGACACGGACCAGACUCCUACGGGAGGCAGCAUG